rnacentral:rRNA from 1 species
AUUGAACGCUGGCGGCAGGCUUAACACAUGCAAGUCGAGCGAGCGGCGGACGGGUGAGUAAUGUCUGGGAAACUGCCUGAUGGAGGGGGUUAACUACUGGAAACGGUAGCUAAUACCGCAUACCAUCAGAUGUGCCCAGAUGGGAUUAGCUAGUAGGUUGGGUAAUGGCUCACCUAGGCGACGAUCCAUAGCUGGUCUGCGCUGAUGACCAGCGACCAUGGAACUGAGACACGGUCCAGACUCCUACGGGAGGCAGCAGUGGGGAAUAUUGCACGAUGGGAGCAAGCCUGAUGCAGCCAUGCCGCGUGUGUGACGAAGGCCUUCGGGUUGUAAAGCACUUUCAGCGAGGAGGCGUUAGUCGCAGAAGAAGCACCGGCUAACUCCGUGACAGCAGCCGCGGUAAUUC